AACUUUCAACAACGGAUCUCUUGGUUCUGGCAUCGAUGAAGAACGCAGCAAAAUGCGAUAAGUAAUGUGAAUUGCAGAAUUCAGUGAAUCAUCGAAUCUUUGAACGCACAUUGCGCCCGCCAGUAUUCUGGCGGGCAUGCC
rnacentral:rRNA from 10 species